CCUACGGGUGGCAGCAGUGAGGAAUAUUGGUCAAUGGCCGGAAGGCUGAACCAGCCAAGCCGCGUGAGGGAGGAAGGCGCAGAGCGUUGUCGACCUCUUUUGCCGGGGGACAAAAGGCCGGACUCGUCCGGUCCUGCGGGUACCCGGAGAAAAAGCAUCGGCUAACUCCGUGCCAGCAGCCGCGGUAAUACGGAGGAUGCGAGCGUUAUCCGGAUUCAUUGGGUUUAAAGGUGGUGUAGAUGGGUUGUUAAGUCAGUUGUGAAAGUUUGCGGCUCAACCGUAAAAUUGCAAUUGAUACUGGCAGUCGUGAGUACAGGUGAGGUAGGCGGAAUUCGUGGUGUAGCGGUGAAAUGCUUAGAUAUCACGCAGAACUCCGAUUGCGAAGGCAGCUUACUAAACUGCCACUGACAUUGAUGCUCGAAAGUGUGGGUAUCAAACAGGAUUAGAUACCCGUGUAGUC
rnacentral:rRNA from 1 species